rnacentral:rRNA from 1 species
GAAUAUUGCACAAUGGGCGCAAGCCUGAUGCAGCAACGCCGCGUGAGGGACGACGGCCUUCGGGUUGUAAACCUCUUUUAGCAGGGAAGAAGCGAAAGUGACGGUACCUGCAGAAAAAGCACCGGCUAACUACGUGCCAGCAGCCGCGGUAAUACGUAGGGUGCAAGCGUUGUCCGGAAUUAUUGGGCGUAAAGAGCUCGUAGGCGGUCCGUCGCGUCUGCUGUGAAAACCCGAGGCUCAACCUCGGGCCUGCAGUGGGUACGGGCGGACUAGAGUGCGGUAGGGGAGAUUGGAACUCCUGGUGUAGCGGUGGAAUGCGCAGAUAUCAGGAAGAACACCGAUGGCGAAGGCAGAUCUCUGGGCCGUAACUGACGCUGAGGAGCGAAAGCAUGGGGAGCGAACAG